rnacentral:rRNA from 1 species
UUUCCGGUUGAUCCUGCCGGACCUGACUGCUAUCGGAUUGAUACUAAGCCAUGCGAGUCAUUGUAGUAAUACAAGGCAGACGGCUCAGUAACGCGUAGUCAACCUACCUUAUGGACGAGGAUAAUCUCGGGAAACUGAGAAUAAUACUCGAUAGACCAUUAUGCCUGGAACGGUUUAUGGUUAAAAUGAUUCAUCGCCAUAGGAUGGGACUGCGGCCUAUCAGCUUGUUGGUGAGGUAAUGGCCCACCAAGGCGAUUACAGGUACGGGCUCUGAGAGGAGAAGCCCGGAGAUGGGUACUGAGACAAGGACCCAGGCCCUAUGGGGCGCAGCAGGCGAGAAAACUUUGCAAUGUGCGAAAGCACGACAAGGUUAGUCCGAGUGAUUUCUGCUAAAGAAAUCUUUUGCAAGUUAUAAAACCACUAGUGAAUAAGGGGUGGGCAAGUUCUGGUGUCAGCCGCCGCGGUAAAACCAGCACCUCAAGUGGUCAGGAUGAUUAUUGGGCCUAAAGCAUCCGUAGCCCGCUUUGUUAGUUUUCGGUUAAAUCCAUGUGCUCAACACAUGGGCUGCCGAAAAUACUGCAGAGCUAGGGAGUGGGAGAGGUAGACGGUACUCAGUAGGAAGGGGUAAAAUCCUUUGAUCUAUUGAUGACCACCUGUGGCGAAGGCGGUCUACCAGAACACGUUCGACGGUGAGGGAUGAAAGCUGGGGGAGCAAACCGGAUUAGAUACCCGGGUAGUCCCAGCUGUAAACGAUGCAGACUCGAUGAUGCAUUGGCUUAUUGCCAAUGCAGUGUCGCAGGGAAGCCGUUAAGUCUGCCGCCUGGGAAGUACGUACGCAAGUAUGAAACUUAAAGGAAUUGGCGGGGGAGCACCACAAGGGGUGAAGCCUGCGGUUCAAUUGGAUUCAACGCCGGA